GGGAUUUCGGGCUCCAGCAGCACGCAGCCUCCAGUCUUGAGUGACUCCUGGGCUUUGGCUCAGCAGUAACUCCUCCAUAAAAACAAGUGUGUGCAUCUGGCUGUUAGAAGAAUUCAUGCUCAUCCGGGAAAAAUGAGGAAGCUGUGAGUACCAGUGGAAGGAACGAGCCAGGAAGAGGGACUGGAACCAUCUCAGAAGCCAUGCCCCUCAGGCUGGAACUUGCCCUGUCUCCUCGCAGAUGAGACAGACGUUUAAGUACGAGAAAGCUAAUGGCGCAGAUUCUGCUGACUGUGUGGCUCUCGUCUUAAUGCGUUUUCCAACCUUGAACCUGAGAAUGCCAGAGGAUUGAGUCUCUGGACGUUCAUCUGAGCAGAUAUCUGCUGGCCGCCUGGUUCCUGAGCUAACAAGUGGGUGUCCCGGGCUUGUGUGUGUAGUCACAACAGUGGAGGUGCCACGUGGCACCCAGAGGUCGACUGGGGCUACCGCGGGGCUUCCCGAUCCUCACAAGUGUGUCUUCAGUGUCUGACAUGAACUGGGAACUUGGGGCAUCUUUAGAAGCACAGACAUUUGGAGUUCCACGGCAAACCUGGAUGUAAGCACUCACACAGCUUUUAAAGUGAAAGCAGGGACCUUGAGGAAGGAAUCGCCGUCAUCUCAUUGCCGACCUGCUUACUGUGCUGGGAAACAAAGUAAGUUCUGUUUGUUUCUUUGUUAGUCUCUCCUGCGUGUUUUUUCUUGCUAAUGUUAUUAGACACUCAAUAUCCGGCAAAUGCCAAGUUUUUUCCCCUUCAUUGGGAAGUAGGAUAUAGUUUAUUCAAUAGCUGAUUGCUUCUUUUAUCUUUUCCCUCUUCCCAUAUCUAGUGUGCCGGCUUGCUGUUUAGAGAUAGGAAGAGAUUGAAAUUUAUUAUCAAGGAGAAAACAAAAAGUGUUUUGUUUUGUUUCUAAAUGGUCCAAGAACUUUGCCAUUAGGUAAAUGACUAUGACACAGACAAGGCGUUUUGCAUGGUAUGACCAGGAGCACCUCUAGCAAAACAGCCCCAGUUCGCCGCCCUGAUUUCCAUUUGGAAGCAGGCACAGUGGGUUUCCCCAGGACCGAUGUUAACGCAGAGGGUCCUUGUGCAGGAAUUGUGCAGAAACUAGGUGGGAAGGUGUCACAGACAAGAGGCUGCAAUUUAAAAACGCAUCAGGAAAUGGAAAAGAGCUGCGAGAAUAUCAAUUAUUUAAUGAUGUUGAUAAAAACAAAUUUAAUAUAAAAAUGAGAUACAAUGUAUAGAGACCUAACCCUGUCAACAGCAACUAAACUUUACUUUCAUGUUAGAAAGUUUUGUGCCAUGUAGAUUUAUGGAAAAUGUGCUUAAUUGCCUCUAGAAAAUAAUGAAGAGGCUUCGUCACCUCCAUAGAAGAUCCUGUGACACUAGCCUAAUUCUGACACAUGGCUCCUGUUUUCCAUUUUGUUUGUUUUUUUAUGCUGAUCCUCUCUCCAGAGAUGUGAUGUGGAUUGAUUAACUUGUAAUAUAAAGUUCUAUGGUUUCUGAAAAUGCAGAGCAAAUAGAGAUGAAGAGUGGUUUGUGAUUUGUUAUUAAAUGAUCUUCCCUUCUACAUUUAGGACUGAUUUUUACUGUAGAAUUUUUUUUUUUUUUUUUUUUUUUUUUUUUUGUCAACUUGAACAGCAAUACCUUGAAGGUAAAAGGUGGGAGCACGACUGGAGUGUGGAACUGGAAAGCAGAAACCAGGGGUGUUACUUCUAUGUCUAGUAUGGAAUGUUGUGAAUUUAAGUUAGAGCUUCUGUGUCCUGGGAAUUCAUAUUUUAUCUCAAAGUGGUGCUGAUAGGACUGGAGGUAGCUGUAUUUCAUUUGAAACAUUCCAGCCUCUUUAUAGGAAUAUCUGUGAAUUUUUAAUUCAGCAAACAUCUUUAAGUGUGUCAUUUAUGUAUAGCGUUGUAGUCAGAGCUGUAAUUGUUUCACCAUUAAAUUUACGGAAAUUCAGUUUGUAAGUGAAAAAUUAAGAACAGUUUGAAAGAAGGGCGAAUGAGCAGAGCAUUGCCAUCUAAACAGUCUUGUUAAAGAUAGUGCCAAGUGAGCAGGACUGUCCCUUCUAAGCUGCCCCUCCUAAUUAAAGGGAAAGGUGGCUGCCAUCUGUCUUCUUUCAUUCAAGGCAGUAGGGGGUCUAGGGUGGAAGGAAGCAACCCCCACUUUAUUUUUCUCCCACUCUUUUUUAUAGUCAGCUUUCUCCCUAGUCAGUGACCCAGAAGGUCAUUGAUGAUCUGUCUAUCUCAGAAUGAAUAGUAGCAUAAGCACGCUUGGCACUUGCAAAAAAAAGAAAGUUUAUAACAUGCACUGAUCCAUUUAAAGUUCUGCUUGAAUUAUGUCUGAGAGUAUUGUAAUCUCUGUAUUGGUGUCUCUGCCCUGUUUGUUACCAAGGGCACUACUGGCAGGAAAAGUGGGGAGUUUUACUUUUAUUGAUUUUGCUUUUUCAUGAAAAAAUGUUUACACUCCACUGGGCAUAAUCAGAAGAUGGCAGCACAUGGCUAUGUACAGGAGAUGUGGGGAUGUACAGGAAUAUUGUUCUUAUCAAAAUCAAGGACACCUAUUAAUGAUGAUACAUAUAUGUCAUCUCAGGGGAAAGCAUGAACAAGCAUGGCAACAGAUGUCCAAGUUACUCAGUGGCCUGCUGCAGCUUUUUGGACCAGUUAUUGAAAUAAUUCACAUUGUUUAGCUUUUGUUAAGCAAUAAGGCUUUUAGCCUUUUUCUUGUAAGAAUACGUUGCAGGAGAGUUUAGUUUGGGGUCAUGUCUUCAUUGCUUUGGAAAUGUAGAAUAGUCCUCCAACAAAAUGACUGCAUUUGCUUGCCUUCGUUUCCACCUCUGUAAAUAGAAGAAAUAUCUGCUGUUUUUAUAAAUAUAUAAGAGAAUAUGAAAUAUUUUCCAUCUUUCAUAAGAACUGUGUUAUAACUGAAAAAUUCUCAAAUCUUCAGUUAUGUUUAUUUUCAAUUUUUACACACUUAAGCAAGGUGUUAACAGUCUUCUAAAGAGAUUCAGUUGUUACAAGCCUUGUUUAGUUCCCAAGUAGCAGGUAUGGACUUCUCAGAACAUACUGGUUUUUAGAACUCUCUUUGUGACACAGAAGUGUGGUAUUUCUUAAACCCAUAACAAUAUAUUUGGAGAGCUCAAAUGUGAAAGUCAUGUCUGUAAUUUUAUUUAGAGCUUUUUUUUUUUUUUUUUUUUCCAAAUUUGUCACCAACUUGCAACGAGCUUUCUUGGAAACAUAGACGUGUUUAUGUUGUUGAGUCUUGAGAUGAACAUGUGUGGGCUUCUGACGACACUGAUGCCCAGUUUGUAUGAUUGGAUGAUACCUGAAAAGUGGGUCACUUCCUAGUCAGUGAAGGGUACACAGGGCUGAAUAGGCAGGGCUUUUUGGCUUUUUCCGUGCUUUUGUUUUUGUUUUUGGUGUGUGUGUGUACUAAUUUUAGAUACUCAGCUAGGUACUUGACUGGCUAUCCUUUUUAGCAUGUGAUUUAAUUUGGUUUUACCCAUCAGUAUUUAUUUCAAGGGGACUAAAUAAACACAUUAAAUGAAGCACUUAAGAACUUUCUAUCUUCUUUUGACUAUCCACAGCGGUGGGAAAUCUCUGUCCUUUGAGGGUAGGAGGGAGCCAAUAGUUAGGUCUCAUGAAUAUGGUAGGUGAUCAAACCACUGAUUCAAGUCAUUGUUUCAUGUUAUAAACAUGGACUGAGCCAGCUACUACAUUUCAGUAGAAGGUACUGUAGAUUCAAAAGUGAACAUGGGUCUGGCAUUUCAGAAAGACACAGGUUAGUGAGAUAAAUGACUAUAAAAAGAGGUAGCACUGUAGACUGAUGUCCUGUAACAGAGGUACACGUGUGCUGUUAGAGCCAAGAGGGGGUCAAAAUAAAAAGACAGGGCACGGUGGCUCAUACCUGUGAUCCCAGCACUUUAGGAGGCUGAGGUGGGAGGAUCACUUGAGGCCAGGAGUUCAAGACCAGCCUGGGCAACAUAGAUCCCCAUCUCUACAAAAAAAUAAAAUAAAAUAAAAAAAUAAGCCACACAUGGUGGCAUGCAUCUAUAGUCCUAGCUACUUGGGAGGCUGAGGCAGGAGGAUCCCUUGAGCCCUGGAGUUGAAGGCUAUAGUGAGCUAUGAUCACACCACUGCACUCUAGCCUGAGCGACAGAACAAGAUCCCAUCUCUGAAAAAAUGGAUGAGUGAAUUAAAUUUCAAAAUAGAGAUUUAAUGGAAAAAUGAGAAUUGUUGUGUACAUGAUUUAUGAAGUGGCUUACAUAAUAUAAUUUUGGACAUGAAAGCCCUGAAAAAUAGCUUCUUAUUUUAAGGAUGAACAGACUGGGAUUUAUUUCUGAAAUUCUAUAAUUCUCAGUCAGUUGUAAGGCUUUCAUUAUAUAAUAGACUUUUUUUUUUAACCAACGGAAGUUGGACCUCUUCAAAAUGUGAGAUCCAAAAAGGUUUUGGAUAUUGUUUGAAUAACUCUCUUCUCCAAAGGAGACUGUUUUUGAAAAAUGAUUCUUUCUGACAUGUUAAAAUUGAAUAUUUUUGACACGCCAAAUGCACCAAAGUAUUAUAUGUCAUGUUUAUUGCCGAGAGUAGCUAUAUAGCUUGUGGGAGACAGUUAACGUGAAGCUUUCUUGCAUCUGGAAGUAUGGGGAGAGAGAAGGCUUCUUCACACCCCCUUUCAUGUUAUAUUCUACAGGGAAAGAAUUUCUAUCAUGUAGACACUAGGUGACUCCCUUGUGGAUAAUUUCAUUUAACAAUGAUUUCUGGGUGUUGCUCUAUGCCAGGCACUGUUCUAGGAGCUGAUGCGAAGGCUCAGCUGAUGGGCUACAGACCUGAAGGCCUGUGCUCCUCAGUGGCACUCUGUAGGUAGAUACAGAGCCACCAUCUACUGGGUGCUUCUCCUGAGUGUGACAGUGUAGGCUGGGACACGAUGCUACCCUUCAAGGAGCUUGAAGCUAAGGUUCUGUGCACAGAUAAAAUUAGAAUAAAUGCAGAGAUGCUAUAACAAGAUGUCUUAGAAAAAAGAAAAACAAAGAAUAAAUGCAGAGAGAAAGAGAAAUGUAUAAAAGGUAGAGAGAUAAACAUACCACAAGUUCAUAGAAAAGAAAGGUUGUGUGUUUAUCUGUGGCUGGGAUGAUCAAGAAAUGCUUCAUGGAUAAAGAGCCUUUGAGCCAGACAUUGAAAGAAAGGUAAUGUUGGACUUGAGGUCUUGGAGUAUCCUCGUUGAAGGAAACAUGAGCAAAGGCAUAGGUAGGGAUGGGAAAUGCCGGGGUGCAGAGUGGGCAGGAAUCGAUUUGUAGUUGCUGGGCAAUGAUGUGUGUAAACCACUAAGGAGAAGAUCAGGUAGCAAAGGUCCUUGGAGGCCAGAACCCAGAGGGCCUUGAAUGGCACGUGACUAAAUGAUUUAAACUUAAGUUACUGGGGAGCAAUGGAAGAAUUUGAGUGGCUAGAGUCCCCAUCCUGAAGAGGCCUUGCGGGGAUCAGCAUGUGGGUGCCUCUGGACUGUGAAAUAGCCAGAGCUGGGAAGCCUUUUAGAGCUGCUGUUGUGGUCCAGGAGGGAGGUGGGGAGGGCCUGGGUGAGGGGAAGGCCACUAGAUGGAGAAAUUGAAUUUAUGAGAUGGGAUUUAGGAACUGCCUAGAUAAUAGGGGUUGGCCGAUGGGAAGCAAAAAUGCCCCCAGAGCUUUGAACCCAGGUGCCAUUCAUUAUUUCUAUGCCAUCUGCCAGGCAUUGCAUAGCUAUUAUCUCAUUUAAUCUCCUCCUAAUCUUGUGGGUUGGUAUUUUCAUCCUUAUAUCAGAGACGAGAAAACUAAGGGUCAGAGAAAAUUAGCAAUUGGUCUAAAAUUGUACAGUUGUAACAGGAUCUAGAACAGGGACUUCAGUACAGGCCUCCCUGACCCCCAAGCCUGUGUUCUUUCUACUGUACUAGGCUUGGAAGACAGCGUACGUGAGAGCAAAGACAAGCUCUGUCCACUCUGUGCAUAUUCAGUGUAGGUGCUGGUGAGAUUCCCGCCUUCAGGUGUCCAGCAAGUGGUUGGAGACAUGGAGCCGAAUCUCAAGGACAUUGGGAGGAUUGAAGGUCAAGGCUUAAGAACCAUCUGCAUCCUCAUUUAUUUAUUCAGCAGCUAUUUGUUGUGUCUUCGUGGACCAGCUUGGCAGCAUGAAUGCUGUGACCAACAAGAGAGGUGUGUCCUUCACGGAGCUGCCAGGCUGGGAGGGAGCCCUGAUGGCGUGGCUUGAGUGUAAGGCAGGAGGUGUGCAGAUUGGCUGUGGGAACUUACUGGCCUAACCUUGUCAGGUCAGGGAAGCUCUCUAGAGGCAGUUGUGGUUCUCAACAUGAGACUCAAAUGAUGAGGACCCAGUUAAAAAGUGGGAAAACAGCAUACCCCAGGCCGUGGAAGUAGCGCGUACUCAGGCAGAGCAAGAUAAGAACACAGUGUCUUUAAACCAAAAACCACGUGUGGCUGGAAUGGAGGGAAGAGCAAGGAGAUAAGACAGGUGAGCAGGAACCAGAACAAGAAAUGCCCUGGAAGCUGUGAGACGCUUGGAAUUCACCUGUGAAGAAAAGAGUAGCCUCAUCUGAAUUCCUUGCCUCGAUUAUGGUCUCCAAUAGAAGAUUAAAUGGCUGUGGAGUCUAGAGGUUUUUUCCUUCGGUGUGGGCAUCACCCCUUCUGAAAGGAUGGUGUAAUGGCUAAUUGUAUGUAUCAGCUUGGCGAGGCCACAGUACCCAGAUACUUGGUCAAGCACCAGUCUAGAUGUCGCUGUGCAGGUAGUUUUUUAGAUGAGGUUUAACAUUUAUAUCAGUAGAAGGAGUGAAGCAGAUUAUCCUUUGUAAUGUAUGUAGGCCUCAUAUAUCAUCAGUUGAAGGCCUUAAGAGAAAAAGAUUGAAGUCCCUAAAGAAGAAGGAACUCUGUCUCCAGUCUCCCUUCAGACUCAAGACUGCAACAUCGGCCUGGCACGGUGGCUCACGCCUGUAAUCCCAGCACUUUGGGAGGCUGAGAUGGGUGGAUCGCUUGAGAUCAGGAGUUCAAGACCAGCCUGGCCAACAUGGCAAAAACCUGUCUCUAUUUAAAAACACAAAAAUUAGUUGGGCAUGGUGGCAGGCGCCUGUAGUCCCAGCUACUUGGGAGGCUGCGGCAUGAGAAUCACUUGAACCCAGGAGGCAGAGGUUGCAGUGAGCUGAGAUCAUGUAACUGCACUCUAGCCUGGGCGACAGAGUGAGACUCUGUCUCAAAAAAAAAAAAAAAAAGACUGCAACAUCAACUCUUCCCUUGGUCACCAGCAUGCCCUGAAGAUUGUGGAUUUGUCAGUCCCUGUAAUUGCAUGAGCCAGUUCCUUAAGGUAAAUAUCAGUAUCUACCCCCACCC
rnacentral:lncRNA from 1 species